GAUGAACGCUGACAGAAUGCUUAACACAUGCAAGUCUUUGGCGAAGCUGUGCUCGCACAGCCUAGCCAAGGCGGACGGGUGAGUAACGCGUAAGGAACUUGCCCUGCAGUCAGGGAUAACAGACGGAAACGACUGAUAAGACCUGGUAAAGUCAGGCGGACUCAUGUCCAGCCCGAUGAAAAGGGAUGCUGCAGGAGAGCCUUGCGUCCUAUUAGCUUGUUGGUGGGGUAACGGCCCAACAAGGCGAUGAUAGGUAGCCGGCCUGAGCGGGUGGACGGCCACAAGGGGGACGGGAGACGGCCCUUACUCCUACGGGAGGCAGGGGUGGAGAAUAUUGGACAAAGGGGGCAAGCCUGAUGCAGCACUUCUGUGUGCACGAUGAAGGUUUUCGGAAUGAAAAGUGCUUUCAGAAGGGAAGAAAAAAAUGACGGUACCUGCAGAAGAAGCGACGGCUAAAUACGUG
rnacentral:rRNA from 1 species